UACGUAGGGGGCAAGCGUUGUCCGGAUUUAUUGGGCGUAAAGAGCGUGUAGGCGGCUAUACAGGUCCGUUGUGAAAACUCGAGGCUCAACCCCGGACUUGCAGUGGGUACGGGCAGACUAGAGUGUGGUAGGGGAGACUGGAAUUCCUGGUGUAGCGGUGAAAUGCGCAGAUAUCAGGAGGAACACCGGUGGCGAAGGCGGGUCUCUGGGCCGAUACUGACGCUGAGGAGCGAAAGCGUGGGGAGCGAACAGG
rnacentral:rRNA from 1 species